rnacentral:misc_RNA from 1 species
AGAACUUUGUUAGUAUUGGCAAAAAUCUGCCAGUUUCAGAUAUUUUUCAAUUAGCACAAGUCGAAGGUAAAUCUGGUUGCAAGGAGCACAGUGAUAGGUCUGCAUUUUGCAUAUUUUGGCUCUGAAAAAUCAUCAUGAUGCUCCCUGGCACUGGCAGGAGUCGAGAAAAACUUUUGAUUGCAUUAUUUGAAGUUGAAAUCUGGCUGGAUAGGAAUAUAAACAAACCUUAAGCAUAAAAA